rnacentral:rRNA from 1 species
UACGAAGGGGGCUAGCGUUGUUCGGAAUCACUGGGCGUAAAGGGCGCGUAGGCGGCUUUAUAAGUCGGGGGUGAAAGCCUGUGGCUCAACCACAGAAUUGCCUUCGAUACUGUAGAGCUUGAGACCGGGAAGAGGUAAGUGGAACUGCGAGUGUAGAGGUGAAAUUCGUAGAUAUUCGCAAGAACACCAGUGGCGAAGGCGGCUUACUGGUCCGGUUCUGACGCUGAGGCGCGAAAGCGUGGGGAGCAAACAGG